rnacentral:rRNA from 1 species
AGUAAAUAGAUACCCCGGUAGUCCACGCCGUAAACGAUGUCGACUUGGAGGUCGUGCCCUUGAGGCGUGGCUUCCGGAGCUAAACGCGUUAAAGUCGACCGCCUGGGGAGUACGGCCGCAAGGUUAAAACUCAAAUGAAUUGACGGGGGCCCGCACAAGCGGUGGAGCAUGUGGUUUAAUUCGAUGCAACGCGAAGAACCUUACCUACUCUUGACAUCCAGAGAACUUAGCAGAGAUGCUUUGGUGCCUUCGGGAACUCUGAGACAGGUGCUGCAUGGCUGUCGUCAGCUCGUGUUGUGAAAUGUUGGG